rnacentral:lncRNA from 1 species
AAUAAUACGAGGAACAAAAUGGGACGAUGAGUUUUACCAAACACUCAAAGAUAAAGAUGCACGAAGGCCAAAACCAGACCUGAAACCCUAGGUUUCAUGCAAGCAUAAUUCACAUGAACAACAAGAUAAAUGGUAUGUAAGCUAGUGAUCAAUCUUAACACAAUGAAGGCUACAUGUUUGCUUCAGAAAUCACAUGAAAAUGAUGCAUGUAUGAUGAGUUUCAAAGUCAAGAGUAUACCUAUUGGAGCAAGGUCUA